rnacentral:rRNA from 1 species
UACGUAGGGGGCAAGCGUUGUCCGGAUUUAUUGGGCGUAAAGAGCGUGUAGGCGGUUUGGUAGGUCCGCUGUGAAAACUCGAGGCUCAACCUCGAGACGCCGGUGGAAACCAUCAGGCUAGAGUCCGGAAGAGGAGAGUGGAAUUCCUGGUGUAGCGGUGAAAUGCGCAGAUAUCAGGAAGAACACCCGUGGCUAAGGCGGCUCUCUAGUACGGUACUGACGCUGAGGCGCGAAAGCGUGGGGAGCGAACAGG